rnacentral:rRNA from 1 species
GGCCUUUUGAGUAUAAUUUAAGGUCUAGCCUGCCCAAUGAUGUAAAAGUUUAAUGGCCGCAGUAUUCUGACUGUGCAAAGGUAGCAUAAUCAUUAGUUUUUUAAUUGAAAGCUUGUAUGAAAGGUUUGAUGAGAAAGGAACUGUCUCUGUUUAAUUUUUAGAAAUUUAUUUUUAAGUUAAAAAGCUUAAAUUUUCAUUGAAGACGAGAAGACCCUAUAGAGUUUUAUUUAUAUAAGAAUAGCGAUAGUUUAGUAUUUAAAAUUUUAUUUUUAUAUGAAUUUAGUUGGGGUGAUUGAAAAAUUUAUAAAACUUUUUUUUUAUAAAUACAUUUAUUUAUGAAUAUUUGAUCCUUUUAAAGAUUAUAAGAUGAAAUUACCUUAGGGAUAACAGCGUAAUUUUUUUUAGAGUUCUUAUCGAAAGAAAAGAUUGCGACCUCGAUGUUGGAUUAAAAUUAAAUUUUUGGUGAAGAAGCUAAAAAAUUAGGUCUGUUCGACCUUUAAAUUUUUACAUGAUCUGAGUUUAAACCGGUGUAA